AUGGGUGCCUCGGUUGGGUGCCUGAUUAGAAAUAUGGUUAAUUUUCAGCAAAAUCUGGCUUCCUCCUUGACAGCUAAAACAGAGCUAACACACAGUUGUGGGACGACCCCAACCGCUGAGUAACGGGUGAGACAGUUCGAGUUUUACUUGUACAUUCAUAGACAUACGGGAAGGUGCUGAAGAACAGGUGCAGGAGUCAAUGUUCGGUCACUGUCAGCAGGAAAAGACUUUGAAAAACUGCGAGAAUGCAAAAAAUUAUGGCAUAAUUGAAGAAAAUAUGCUAACCAACCAAAGACAGCUCAGAAUAGUUGCUAAUGACGGGGUUGCGACCGUUUGAAGGCCGGUAGGUUUUCUCAGUUCGCUCACCAUUGGCAGAUGUGGCAAAAACAAUGGACCCUGGACAGUGGGAUCGAUCAAGACUCGAUUAUCGGCAGAGUUAAUUCUUCAAGCACCUAUAGGAGAAUUAUGAAUGCGGCCUGGGUGAAGCUGAGUGGAGGAAAGACAGGUCAUUCUCACCUCCACACUGCAAGCAGUGACUGAUUGAAGCGUUAUGUGCCUAAUGCCACCCUGAACCAUCAGAGAAGACUGAACUAAACAACCGACUAAACUAAACUUCUGAACAAAAGCUCAGAUGCAAAAUAUCAUAGAUCUGAGCUCAAUAAUACCAUCAGAUACUGGGACAAGGCAGAGACAAAGUCUAGAGGAUUCAUUCAUUCAUAAUUUUAUUUGUUAAAUGAAUACAUUUAUUAUGUAUUAUCCCAGACUGCCAUAUAGUGAUGCAUCAUGACCCUAUACCACUUAAAGUACAUUUAAAGUACCCCUGUUAUGCCAUUUCCAGUAUUGCCUUUCAUGCAGCGUUUAAUGUAGCUGUAUGUGAAUGUAAAGUUGUAAAGCUGAAAAUGCACGAUAAAUAAAGUUGUCACCCAAAAUAAAGAAUGGACUCUGAACAGCUGAAACGAGUCGUUAGGAAUUUGAAUCCCACUUCUGUGAUGGCUAUACCUCACUGGGUAACACAUUUGCAUAAUGCGUGCCUAUGUUCUACGUUGGCUGACCGCGAACAACUUGAUCCGCCCUCAAACAUGUCAUUCUACUGACGACUGCUUCUCUAAUCUCGGGGAGUUCAACGCAGGAUUCACAAAAUGCUUGCUGUUGAAAGAUGGAUCAGUAUCCAGUUUAUUGGGACCAGCUGUUCCACUGAAUCACAACCUGUAAGCAUGAUAAAUAAUAGAUGUUUAGA